rnacentral:rRNA from 1 species
CUACGGGGGGCUCCAGUGGGGAAUAUUGCACAAUGGGGGAAACCCUGAUGCAGCGAUGCCGCGUGGAGGAAGAAGGUUUUCGGAUUGUAAACUCCUGUCUUAAAGGAAGAAUAAAUGACGGUACUUUAAGAGGAAGCACCGGCUAACUACGUGCCAGCAGCCGCGGUAAUACGUAGGGUGCAAGCGUUGUCCGGAAUUACUGGGUGUAAAGGGAGCGUAGGCGGGAUUGCAAGUCAGAUGUGAAAACUAUGGGCUUAACCCAUAGACUGCAUUUGAAACUGUAGUUCUUGAGUGAAGUAGAGGGUGGCGGAAUUCCUAGUGUAGCGGUGAAAUGCGUAGAUAUUAGGAGGAACAUCAGUGGCGAAGGCGGCCAACUGGGCUUUUACUGACGCUGAGGCUCGAAAGCGUGGGGAGCAAACAGGAUUAGAUACCCUAGUAGUC